UACGGAGGGUGCAAGCGUCGUUCGGAAUUAUUGGGCGUAAAGGGCGUGUAGGUGGCACUCCAAGUCUGGUGUGAAAGCCCACGGCUCAACCGUGGAACUGCAUUGGAAACUGGGGAGCUCGAGUGUUGGAGGGGGUCGCGGAAUUCCCGGUGUAGAGGUGAAAUUCGUAGAGAUCGGGAGGAACACCAGUGGCGAAGGCGGCGACCUGGCCAAUCACUGACACUGAGACGCGAAAGCGUGGGGAGCAAACAGG
rnacentral:rRNA from 1 species